rnacentral:rRNA from 1 species
CCUACGGGAGGCUGCAGUGAGGAAUAUUGGUCAAUGGCCGCAGGGCUGAACCAGCCAAGUCGCGUGAGGGAUGACGGUCCUAUGGAUUGUAAACCUCUUUUGUCCGGGAGUAAAGGGCCCCACGUGUGGGGUUUUGCGAGUACCUGAUGAAAAAGGAUCGGCUAACUCCGUGCCAGCAGCCGCGGUAAUACGGAGGAUGCGAGCGUUAUCCGGAUUUAUGGGUUUAAAGGGGUGCGUAGGCGGAAUGUCAAGUCUGCGGUAAAAUUUCGGGGCUCAACCCCGUCUUGCCGGCGAAACUGGCGUUCUUGAGUGAGCGAGAAGUAGGCGGAAUGCGUGGUGUAGCGGUGAAAUGCAUAGAUAUCACGCAGAACUCCGAUUGCGAAGGCAGCAUACCGGCGCGCAACUGACGUUCAUGCACGAAAGCGUGGGUAUCGAACAGGAUUAGAUACCCCAGUAGUC